GGCCGCCCGCGGCCUCCGGGGGGGCGGCGAGCGGCGGCUCCUGCGCGGUGCAGGGAGGGUGUAUGCUCCUGAACAGCCAUGGCAGGAACUAUGGUACGCAUUGGUGACCAGCUCAUCCUGGAAGAAGAUUACGAUGAGACAUACAUUCCCAGUGAGCAAGAAAUCCAGGAUUUUGCAAGGGAGAUCGGGAUUGACCCUGAGAAGGAGCCGGAGCUGAUGUGGCUUGCCAGGGAAGGCAUCGUGGCUCCACUGCCACCUGAGUGGAAGCCCUGCCAGGAUAUCACAGGUGACAUCUACUACUUCAACUUUGCUAAUGGCCAGUCCACGUGGGACCACCCCUGUGAUGACCACUACCGAGAGCUUGUUAUCCAGGAGCGAGAGAAGCUCUUGUUACAAGGCAGAUUGAAAAAGAAAGAGAAGAAGAAGAAGAAAGAAAAGAAAGACAAAAAAGACAAGAAAGAGAAGCAGACGCUGAAGCAGGCUUCAUCUUCAGGCACCCUGCUGGCACCCGUGCAGGCUCCCUUGGGGAAUCUCGCACCAUUGCGUGGUCUUGGGGACUCUCCUGCUGGCGUCCUUCGUGGCUCAUUGAACUCUGACGUGGGAAGCUCUGUGGACUCCAGUCUCCUGCUCAGAGGAGGACCUCAGCCUACAGAGACCUGUAAGCCCACCAGCCAUACCAAGAAGUUGCUGGGACUGCUCUGUGAUGAGAAGGGUUCCUUAAACACAGUGGCUCUAGAUAAAAGGACAAGUGAAGAGGAAGAAAGUGAGCAUGAGAGUCUCCAUGGAACUGCAAGACUGUUCAAAAACCUGCACAUCGAUGUCAGUGCCCUGGGAGGCAGUUUUGAAUCUGAGGAGAAGAACAAAGGUGAGGAGGAGAACGGUGGCAGCCAGUUAGCUGAUGUCGCUGAAGCCGAUCUCCAGCGCCGAAGGAGCCCCGCGAAGGAAGCUGGCAGUCUGAGAGAGAAGGAGUCUUUAAAAUCGAGACAUGCUGAAGAAUGGCAAGAGUCUUCCUUGGAUUCUGACGAUGCAUAUCCUCCAACUCCAGUUAAAGUCCUUCCUGGAGAUGCUGACAGUAGCCUGUCUGGCCAGAACAAAGAGGAGUCUGAUGGUAAACUUGCUGGUAAUGAACUGCUGGGCAAGAAAGAUGCUGAGGUGGAAGGUGAAGUCUCUGCAGUUGAGGAGUUGCCACAGUCUCUGGGGGAGAGGAGAGCAGCCGGGACAGAUGUACCUAGCAGUCCCAGGCAACCUAGAGCUGCAUCUCCAGACGCUGGAGCUGCUGAAGCAGAUCAGCUGGCAAGCCUGGCUGUCACCGUCGACACUGUAUCUGUUGAUGAAAAGAUUGUAAAUGAAAUAAGGGAAGAAGCAGCUGAUCUGAAAACAGACAGCAGGCUGGAUGCUGGCAAACUUUCAAAGGCAUCGGAGACCAGUGAAUGUGGAGAGGACUUGCCAGUUUCUAACCAUUCAGAUCAUGAGCUGAUACAGCCUGUGGACCUGCAUUUCCAGAGUCGACUUUCUGAGCAGGUACUGGAUGUGGGUAGUCUUUCUCCUGUUUUGGACAGCCCCAUGUGCAAGGCACAGGAGCUGGGAGAAGAGGAAAAAGACCAAAGCAAAGCCAGUAUAGAGGAAGAGCAAAGCAAAAGAACAAAAGCUGCUAAGAGUGAGAGGGAUCAAAGUGAAACCUCAGAACAGAAGUGUUUUGCUUUAGAAACCUCCAAACAGGAAGAGGCUGUGGCCCUGGAGCUGGAGGAGGGAUCGCUGGAUAGCCUGAUCAAUCUGGAGGAGCUUGCUGCCCCACAGAAGGCGCAACCUGAGGAGGAAAUCAAACAGGAGAAGACCUUGAACCAGUCUAAUGAAGAAUCCCUAGAGGGAAUAGCCAAGGAGCUGGAGAAAGAGGUGGAGCAAGAGAAAAUGCAUUUAUUGCAAGCAAAGAAGGAGAAAAUUCAGCAGUUCCAGGAGGAGGUGAGGCGGCAGGAGGAGGAAGAAGCUCAAAAGCUUCAUCAGCAGAAAGAAAAAUCCCUCAGGACUCUGAAAGAGGAUUUGGCAAAGGCUUCCAAAGAGGAAGAGUUGCGGGUGAGAAAGGAAGAAACUGAGAGACUUUCAAAGCUGCGAAUCCAAAUCAUCUCAGAGACUGAGGCAGAGAAGCAGAAGAUAAGGGCAGAGCAAGAGGUCACGCUGCAAAAACUGAGAGAAGAGUGGGAAUCUCUGCAGGUGACAGAGAAGGAGAACCUGGAGGGGAUGAAAAAGCUUAUUUUGGAGAAAAUGAGGUUGGAAAUGGAGGAUGCUCAGCAGAAUGAGAUGGUCGGGUUGGAACAAGAAAAGGAACAAUUCCUGAGCGAGUUCAAGGAGAGAUUGGAAAGGGAAAAAAAGAAGGCCACAGAUGAGCUAGAGAAGCAGUUUGCAACAGAGCUCCAGCAGCUGAAGUGUGCAGCAGCAGAGAAACAUCAAAAGGUCAUUUCCAGCCUGCAAACCCAGAUAGCAGAGGCACAGAGGAGUGAAGAGGCUCAGCUGCGCGAAGACUUGCAGAGAGCAGAGCAGAAAGUCCAGCAAAAAGUAUUCCAAGUAACAGAAUAUGAACGUGAGCUCAGUGAACUUUUGAGAGAGAAACGCCAGGCAGUGGAAAAAGACCAUGAGAGGAAAAUGGAGAGGAUGAAAGAAGAGCACCAGGAGGUCCUAGCAAGGAUUCAGGAUCAGUAUGAGGAGGAGGAGAGAAAACAAAGAGCGGAGCUGUCUGAGGGCCUGCGAAGUGAGGUGGUGCGCCUCCGACACCUUCAUGAAGUAGAAGUGAAAGCUCUGCAGGCAGAGCUGGAUGAGCGGCUCACUGAAUUGCAGCGCAGGCACAGGGAGAAGGAAAAAAAGCUCCAGGAUUCAGAAAAUGAGCUUGAAAUGCGAGCAAAGGCUGCCAAGGCCAGAUCAGUGCAGCUCCUUAACCAGGAGGAGACUCUGAGAAAGAAAAGGCAGCAGCUGCUGGAUGAAGACAGACGGACUGAGCUAGAGAGAGAGGAAGCUCUUUUGGCUUCUCAGCUCCGUCUAGAGGAGAACAGAAAGGUGCACACCGGCCUUCUCGACUCCAUCCGGCAACUGCGUAAAUCUCUUGAAGAGCUCCAAGAUCAGAAAGCUGAGCUGGAGGCCCAGGUGGACUUGCUGCAGACUCGAAGCCAGAGGCUGCAGAAGCGCAUCAAUGAGCUUGAGGCAACUAUCAGGAGCAAACAGGAGACUUUGAAAGAGCUAGAGGGAGAAGAAACUGUAGAAUCUCCAAGAGGGAAAGCUGAGCUCCACGUUGAAGACCUGGGAGAAACUAUUCAAGCUCACUCAUCCAGAAUGCCUGCUUCCCCACCCUCUCCAAGCCGUGAGGAUGACUUCCAGUUUGAUCACAUCAGGAGCUACAUCUCUGCAGAAGGGAUCUCUAUUAGGAAUGCAAAGGAGUUCCUGGUGCGCCAGACUCGCUCCAUGAGGAAGAGGCACACAGCACUGAAAGCUGCAAAGCAGCAGUGGCGCCAGGACAUGCAGAAAGCACAGGAGGUGGUGCAGGAUCCUGACAGCUCCCAGCUCCUGGAGGGCAUGCGCAGGAACUUGGAAGAGGAAGCGAAGCAGUUGGACAAGAUGAAGUUGGCUAUGCGGAAAGGACAGGUGCUGCUGAAGAAGAAGGAAGAAAAGCUCAGCCAGCUGGAGUCGUCAAUUUUGGAAGAGCUUUCAGAUGAAGAUACGCUGAAGAGUGCUGCGUGCAAAAAGAUGGUGACUUUUGAUCUCAGCAACUCUGAGGACACAAACAGCACGUCCAGUGCAGAUGUACAUCAGCCUAAAUUUGAUUUGAGAACUGAUCUACAGACUGACCCCCAGCUGGACAAGAUCCAGUACUUGACAGACUCCCUGCGCCGCAUCACUAGUGAGCUGAACGGAGUCCUCGGUGUUUUGGGCUCUCUGAACAAUCGUCAGUCUCCGCUCUUCACCUCAACACAGGUGCCCGUGCAGGUGCCCUGCGACGGCGUCCCUCUUUCUGCCUAUGCAUCCUUGGCAGGAGUUCAGGCAGGUGGCUCCUUGGUGCCUCCCACCAAGGUGUCUCUGGUUGACCGGUGGGCCUGGAACACUGGGCUGAGCUCCAGCCACUCUUUCACAGCUGGACAGUCAGUGGAUAGCACCCUGGCAGAGAAAUGGCACAAGUAUUUCCCAGGUGGGAAACCAUCGCUCAGUGGAAGUUCUACUUUUCUGGAGAGCAAGCUGGGUUACGUACCUGCAGAUGAGCAAAUCCGCCUGUUCCAGCACUCCCAGUUCCGAGGCUCUGAGUCAAAUAGGAUGAGUAUUCAAGGAAUGAUUGAGACCAACAAGAAAUGGCUAGAGGACUUCAAGAGGGAUUCAGAAGUCUGGGUGCAGAGCUGUCCCCGGGAAGAUGAGGCUGCAUCGUGCUUGCAUGGAUCUGGGCCUUGCUCGGGAACUGCUCUCCGGCAACUUGGGAUGUGUUAAAGUUGGUAAACUCUGCAGAUUGGCUGCCACUGCCGAUUUCUCCGUUUAUUUCGGAGCAGCCGUGAAUUCUUGCCCGAGUGGUGUUAUAGGUCCUGCUGUUGCUGCAGUGUGCUUGCCCGAGUCCUGCUGCUUGGAUCGCUGAAUAACGCUCUCACCGUAAAUCAGGCAGGAUUGGUGAUGUGCUUUUCUCUCCCCAUGGCUUGUUCCUUUUCCCUUCUUAUCUCCUUCCAGCAGCCCCAGGACACCCGUGGCCAGCCCUUCCUAGCUGUGCAUGUUUGCCCCUUUGUGAUUUUCCUUUUGAGGUAGUCUUUCAUUAAAGACUCAGCUUGUCCUCUGUCUGAAAGCACUGCAGCAAAGGCUGCCUCUGUCCAAACGGGGCGUUCACAGCGUGCAUCCUGGCUGGGGACUCUCCAGCGCUGAGAGACGGUGGAAGAGUAACACAGACAGUCACAGAAGGGAUGGGGAGAGGGGAGCUUCGACACCUGCCCUUGUAUUCCCAGCUCUGCUUCUUCUGUUUGGUGCACUGUUGGCUGGAAAAGGCUGGCGUGGAUGGGGAUGUGGGGACCCUGGGUGGGCAUAGCCUGAUCUGAGCUGCUGGUGCAUUGGAGAACGGACCAAAAGGCAAAUGCGGUCCCAGGAUGCACGAGGCGCACAGAAGUGUGCAGGGGCUGGGACGAUACUGUGCACAGUUGUGUUCUGUUUGUGGAGGGAGGGCUGGAAAGGAAGGAGUGUGAUUGCUGCUGUGCAUGCGGGGAAGGGAGGAGAGCUGUUGAAGCUGAAGGACAGACCUGGCACAGGAACAGCAUCAGCUGGCUGUGCAGAAAUGGAGGCUCAUAGAUGCAUGCCCUUAAAAACAAGAACCGGACAACCCCUCGACCCUGAAUUACCACGGUUCUUGCUGUGCUUGAUCUGCACAUGUGUGUCUGUGCCCACUGGAGAGCUGCAGUAAGAGCUACUCGGGCAGGACUCUGACAGCAAUGCACCUUGCCCAGGUAAGCGUAUUUGAGGGCAGGUAGUUCUUGUUGUGGCACCCAUUGACCUACAAGCAGUGUACAGCACUGGCUCUCGAGUCCUGCCUGCUCUGAAAAUACCCUUUCCUGGCCCAUUUUCCCUCCUCCCCCACAGUAUGGGAGGAGAACGAUGCUCUAUUGUGUGUUAUUGCUGCUGCUGGCCUGUUCACGGCUUGCCUUGUCCAACGAUGUUGAUGCUGCUUGGCCACAGGUAACCCAAAAGUGCCUUGUUGGUGCUGGAGGCUUUGCUGAAAUCCUGCUGGGAGGCAGUCGCAAGCAGAGGAGGUUUGCUCUGUGUCAUUUCUCAGCUCCCUUCGAGCUGAGCCUGAGGUGCGGGGGGUGCAAGCAUGCGUAAUGGGCACAGGCUUGCGCUUGCCUGCAUGUGUACACAGGGAACAAGAGGAUUUGCUUUUCCUGGAAUGGCAGUAUCUUGUAUGUUGGAGAAAUUCAGUGAUUAGAAGAGCAAAAGGACAGCGUGCAAUUACUCUGCCGAAUGAAUGUGAGCCGUAAGCUCAUUAAGGGACUUGGAGGCUGCCUGCUGGAGAAGGUGUCAUUCCAGUCACUGGCUAUUCACAGACCACUGUGCCUCGCUCCGAGUGUUGAUUUCCCAGAACAGCAGCAGCCCCUUUGGACACUGCAGCCAUGCUGGCAACCCUGAUGACGGCGCUGUUUUUCGUGGUGAGAGCAGUUGGACAGAGCUCAGCAGGGAAACCUGCUGCCACUGCAUCUUUCCUUCCUGAUCUGCUGCUGGUGACUCCGUAAUCAUCUCUGGCAAGCGAGUAAGUAUGGUGGCAGACUGGACAGUUAGGGUGUCAGUGGGAGGAGGAAGAGUGUGGCAGUGAGCGUGCCCUUGGUGCACAGGGUCCCUGGCUGGUGUGUCCCCGCUCUGCCGCGCCUGGGCCUUGUCUCUUUGAGGCAUGAACCCCUGGGGCAGCUGUGAGAACAUGCAGCAAGAAUCGCAGGUCAGUCUGGUGCCAGGAAGGCAAGCUGGGCACCACCACGGUUAGCAAGGCAGCUCGGAGGUGUGAUCGCUGGAGGCGACGGGUGUGGAGGAGCAGCUCUUUCUGCCUCUCCUCCUCUCCUCUCCCUCUCACCUGCUGCAAUCCUCUCCCUGCAUCCAGCUCGGGACCAGCCUCUUCCAUGAAGAGCCCCUGCCGUAUCUCGUGUAUCAGCCCCUGCCCUGGCAGAUCCAGUAUGUGACACAGAGUCGCCGCACCAGCCGGGACAGCGAGAAAGGCAGGAGCUCUCGACACAACAGCAUCUACUCAAUCCCUGGACAGACAGGCAACGAGACCCCUGAUGCCAGCAGCGAGAGCAAGUUGUUCUGCGACCCUUCUGAGAAGGCAGCCGUCACCAUCCAGACUCACUUCAGGAGAUACCAGCAGCACAAGAAGGAGAAGGCAUAGACGUGCCGGCCACCCUGCUCUGCACCACCCCUCCUUCUGUCCGUUCUGUACCCCAGAGAGACUCGCAGCCAUGGUGGCUGUGACCCUGCUCCCUCAUACGUAGCUCUUGGUGUGUGCGCAGCUGUAGAUACCCUUUUGGUGUUUGCAUUGGCAGCUGGUCAGAGCAAAAUCUCUUUCCUGGAUGUGUUGUCGGAGCAGUGAUGUGCUGACGUCGCUGCAUGGACCCGUGGGCUCCCUAGAGUAGACCUGAGCAAGACACUGGGUCCAUGAAUAUGCUGCAAUAGCCUGCUGGGAGGAUUUAGAGUUUUUCUGCAGCCACAAGAUUUCUAGGAAGCUGUUGAGCAAAAACAGAGGCCUGUGCAUCACUGCUGACCAGGGCUGUCCUGCUGCAGGUGAGCGAGGUCCCUUGGUGGGGUUACGAGCAGCUGCGUCCCGCAGACACGGUAAGUCGGCCCCCAGGUGUGGGGCUCAGAGUGCCCCUGGCCACCCACGCACCUUAGUAUUGUCCCAUGACGACUUACCUAAGAGUGAGCCAGACAAUGUCUGUGGUCCUAAAAGACCCUGUCAGAGCUGCUUAGCGAGAGCUGCUGCAUUGAAUUGCUUUGGUUAUGUCCUGUGUACAAAUGCUGUACAAAAUCUAGGCACUCGUGGCGUGCUAAAUUGGAAAAUCACCAUGGCUUUAUUGUCUUCAAAAACCCGUUAAAAAUGAAUGCAUAAGAAAACUCAUGCAUAGAAGUAAAUGUUAUUCAGAACCGCAUUUGGAAUCCAUAUUAAAAACAAUCCCAAAUACUGCAGAAAGAGCCUAAUCCCGUUUCACACGCGGAUUUGGGGGCAAGCUGAUCACUCCUGACAUGACGUCUCAGCACAGCCAAAUGGGCGACUCCAGACGCAGGGCAACAACCCGGAACCUCCUGGGAAAUUCCUGGGUCUCUGCUGGACCUUCCCGAAUGCAGGCAAGCCCCGGCACUCCUUCGGAAGGACAGCGCGUGCAGGUGAGCCCCAGCCACCGACAGAGGCAGAGCAGCUCGGACGAGAGGGUCAGGCAGAGCAAAUGCAGCAUCUUUGACCAGGCCAUUUGCUUCAGACACAAAAUAAAACCCAAAAAACCCCACCCUGCCCCACAACAGUUCUCUCUCCAAGGAAAGCUUUACAGGGAUAGAUGGAGCUUUUGGUGCAAAACCUGGCGUGGGAGCUAUUCGCCGAGGCACUUGCCCUGCUCACCCGGCGCCCUGCCGCCAGCCUCUCCGUGAGGUGUACACGUCCGUACCCCAAAUGCUCCUUUGCGCAGGGUGGUGCCAAAAUACUCACCAGGAGUGAUACCAGUGAGCAUAAGGAAUUGUAGUGACAGCUCCUUUCCUGAACCCCAGAGAGUAACUGUCCAUUUCAGGCUACUGCUGAGGCAUUUAAAACGAGCUGGAGCUGUAAGAGUUGUUUUACCUGGAAACAAACAUGCAAACAACAUCAAAGGCAGCCCUGCUGACCAGUGCGCCAGCACAAGUGGCUGCUGGAACAGCAAGCCGAAAACUGAAGUAGCAGGUAAUGAUGUUGCCAGUAACUGUUGUUUUUGCCCAUAAGAAAGAUUUUUUGCUGUAACUGAAUGAACAAAUCAAUGAGAGGUGUUAAAAAAAAAGAAAAAAAAAAACCCUAAUGCUAUAUAACAACAAGUGAUUGUAACUGCAGUGGUAGAAAUAAUGCUUCUUUCAAGAAUUAAAAAAAUAUAUAUUUUUUUUAAAAAAACCCCAAACUAUGCACGUGUCACAGCUGCUAAUUUAAGUUAAAAGGACAAGCUUAUUUGUUUGUUGUAAAGAAGACAUGGAACUAGUGGGUACCAAGCAUGGAUUAAGAAAUGGUAAAAACAAUUUAAAAUAUGAGCUAGUAAACUGGAAGAAAUAAGGAAACAAAAAUGCACUUGCAACGAAAGCUAGACCAUCACCUUCCAGAGGGGGAGCUGGUGCUAUUGCAGGUCUAACGGAGUAAAACGACCGUGUCUAGCAGCCGUUCUUGCCUGCCUGGGCAGCGGGGAAGGGGAAGGAAGGUUGCCAGCCCCGGGGGUGCUGGGGACAGGUGCUGCCUGCCUUUAGCUGGGCUUGCGCAGCUGUGUGUGCAGCAAGGGGAAGGGUUUGAUGCGUUUCUUUAGUGUUUUUACUUGCUGCAGCCGAGGAGAAAAACCACCCAAGGAGGAGGGGUGUGCUGGACUUCACAGCCUGGUGGAGCCGGGCCACGGUUAACGGCGCUUUGCUGGAGUCACCGGCCGUCGCGCCGGGCUCUGCCGCGCGCUGCUCGGCCGCGCCGGUGCCGCGCUUCGCCUGCCUUCCCCGGCUCGGCGAUUCAUGGUGCGAUUCGCGGGGUAAGUAAGCGGGGUGCCGCCAGAGCCGGCCUUGCCGAACAGCAGCGCGCUGCGUGCCCGGACACCGUCUCCGCUCCUUCCUCCCGCGGCACCCCCCGUCCCCGUCCCAGCUCCCCGUCUGCUCAUUUAAGAAACACCCACGUUAUAAACAUAACCUUUAUUGCACACAGCGCUGGGUUUUUUUUCAUAGAAAAAGGUAUUAACACAUAAGCAUUUGCAAAUUGAAGCAACUCCUGUUGUUUUCAGAACAGUAAAAUAGCAUGCAAUGUCUUCAAGACGUUCCUUUUUCAAAACCACCGACAAGAUCAGGGAAAAAAAAGUCGCUGAGUCUUUCCUUGUGCCCCUUUCAAAAUGAUGUGAAAUAUAUAUAUAUGUUUACAUAUAUAUUAUAUUUUUAAAUCUGUAACAUCAAAUUCUUUGUGCCCUGGUUUCUUUUUCUGUUUGGAGAAGAAGAAAAUAGUUUCAUUUAUACAAAAGAGUUCCUUAUGUACAAGAGUUUUUGUUAUUUAAAUAUAAAUAGCGCGGGAAACCAGCAAAGUUCAUUGUGUGUGUGUGUGUGUGUGUGUGUGUGUGUGUUUUCUAGUUUCCUACACGAGAGUGUAGGAUUUGGAAUAUGCUCCAGCCCCUUGUUUUUGAGACCUUCCUAUACCAGAUGUGCUCAUUUCUAGUAGCGAGUCCCUCGAG